rnacentral:lncRNA from 1 species
GCCUUUGGAACCUUUUUUGUUUUGUUUUUUACUUUGAUAGUUGCACUUUUAGGUAUAGUACGGCAGUCUGCAUGUACAUUCAAACAGCUAGCAGUUCUUCGAAGAGACUGCGGUCCUGCCUUCCUGACUCGUCGCUGCCGGUGUUCACCCCUGCAGCCACCGGGUUCAGGGGACUUUCUGCUUGUGGUUCAAAACCUCUCAGCAAUGAAGAUCCUGAAGACAACCCUGCAGCCUGACAGUGUCAACACUGUCACUGCAUACAAUGCCAUCUGGAACCCUGAAGAAGGCUCUGUGACCAGAUUUCUGCAAUGCAAAGGCUGCUGCUCCCAGAUUCCUGGUCUGCCGGCAGCUUUGAUAGCAGCGGAGAUCCUCUACCCCAGAAACAUGGCUCAGAAUCAGAUAUGGUUGGCUCCAGCAGCAGUCACCUUCUGUGCACUCAUUCCAACUGAAGGCUGAAGCUUGAUGGAGACCAGUACCAACCUACUAACCGCCCUUCUAGAAAUUAAAGAUUUCCAAAACAAAAUCUUGUCGAGGAUGAUGAUUAGAUAUUCUUACACUGUAUGUCUAUCAGAGAGUUUGUAUUAUGUAAAAUAAAUUGCAAACAUUGUUAAUUUAGCUUUAUUACAAUAAUUCAUAUAAAUUACCAGUAAAACUAAAGAGGCUUGUUCCAUUGCUUUUGUGGGUUUGUAGCAUGCAUGCAGUAGCAGUAUUGUCCUAAAAUUCACCUUUCUAUCAACUGUUUCAAGUGAAUUUAUAAAAAAAAAAAUUAUAAAGAAAUUUAUAAAAAAAAUUAAAAAAAAAAUGUUUUAUUAGUCACUGGUUUAUCAGUCAGAAAAAGCUGGAACAACUGUGGGAAAAUGGAUCAAGAAACAUUGAGCAAUGGAGGAAGAAAACAUGAUUCUUUCAGCAACUCCUUUCGGGCACCAGAAAUUAAUCUGAUCAAAAGUUUCAAUGGAUUUAAAAAAUACAAGAUAAAGUUAUAUGCUGAUUUAGUUGAAUUAUACAGUUAUCUAAUCUAAAAUGAAAAGAACGCUAACAUACAGACCCUACUAUGUAAGUUUUGUCUGAGGUUACAAGAGCUGCAGAUUAUAAACAUGGUUCCAUCGAAGGGCGUGUUUUAUUACAACCAUCUGCCAACCUGUGGUUGAAUAUUUUCAAGAUAACUCGCUGUUGAUUUGUCGAUUCAAAGGUGAGCUCUGUACAAAGGGAACUCCCUUCAUGUGUGUCGAUGGCUGAUAGAGUAAUGGAGACGAAUGUACUGACAUGAACCAGGAGCGAGACAUCAACAUAACUCCUGAUCUGUCAGAAGCUGCACACAAAGGAGAGCAGUGAACUGCUGAGGCCGUCCGGCUGCUUUGCUCAACCCUAGAGAGAGUUUCUCUUUAUAACUAAUUUCAAGGCAAUAAAUCAAUACUCUUCAUCUUUUAACAUCUCAUAACCUGUUUGUUUCAGUUUUUCACUGGAAAGAUUGUUUGUUUCAAUGGGCUGUGGCUCUGAGGUAGAGUGUACCUGUCCUAUCAGAAGGGUUGGAACUCA